GGCGAACGCUAGCGGCGCGCCUAACACAUGCAAGUCGUGCGGGAAAGGGCUUCGGCCCCAGUACCGCGGCAGACGGGUGAGUAACACGUGAGUAACCUGUCCUCGGGUCUGGGUUAACCACCCGAAAGGGUGGCUAAUACCGGAUAAAGUCACCGGGCGCAAGCUCGGUGAUGAAAGGGGGCCUCUGCAUAGCAAGCUCCUGCCUGAGGAGGGGCUCGCGGCCCAUCAGCUAGUUGGUGGGGUAACGGCCCACCAAGGCUAUGACGGGUAGCCGGCCUGAGAGGGUGGUCGGCCACACGGGCACUGAGACACGGGCCCGACUCCUACGGGAGGCAGCAGUGGGGAAUCUUGGGUAAUGGGCGAAAGCCUGACCCAGCGACGCCGCGUGGGGGAAGAAGGCCUUCGGGUCGUAAACCCCUGUUCUGGGGGAAGAACCCUGACUGGGUUAAGAGCCCAGUCAGGCUGACGGUACCCCAGGAGAAAGCCACGGCUAACUGCGUGCCAGCAGCCGCGGUAAUACGCAGGUGGCGAGCGUUGCCCGGAAUUACUGGGCGUAAAGGGUGCGUAGGCGGCCGGACAAGUCGUAGGUUAAAGCCCGGGGCUCAACCCCGGAAAGGCCUACGAUACUGUCUGGCUUGAGGGCUGGAAAGGCUGGCGGAAUUCCCGGUGUAGGGGUGAAAUCCGUAGAUAUCGGGAGGAACACCGGAGGGGAAGCCGGCCAGCUGGACAGUCCCUGACGCUGAGGCACGAAAGCGUGGGGAGCAAACCGGAUUAGAUACCCGGGUAGUCCACGCUGUAAACGAUGGGUGCUAGGUCUGGGGAGGUAAUCUCUCCGGGCCGAAGCUAACGCGUUAAGCACCCCGCCUGGGGAGUACGGCCGCAAGGCUGAAACUCAAAGGAAUUGACGGGGGCCCGCACAAGCGGUGGAGCACGUGGUUUAAUUCGAAGCAACGCGAAGAACCUUACCAGGCCUUGACAUCCAAUGAACUUUCCAGAGAUGGAUUGGUGCCUUCGGGAACAUUGAGACAGGUGCUGCAUGGCUGUCGUCAGCUCGUGUCGUGAGAUGUUGGGUUAAGUCCCGCAACGAGCGCAACCCCUGCCCUUAGUUGCUACCCCGAAUGGGGAGCACUCUAAGGGGACUGCCGGCGAUAAGCCGGAGGAAGGUGGGGAUGACGUCAGGUCAGUAUGCCCUUUAUGCCCGGGGCAACACAGGCGCUACAGUGGCCAGGACAAUGGGAUGCGACCCAGUAAUGGGGAGCAAAUCCCCCAAACCUGGUCAUGGUGCAGAUUGAGGGCUGAAACUCGCCCUCAUGAAGCCGGAAUCGGUAGUAAUGGCGGAUCAGCUAAGCCGCCGUGAAUACGUUCUCGGGCCUU
rnacentral:rRNA from 1 species